rnacentral:rRNA from 1 species
UACGGAGGGUGCGAGCGUUAUCCGGAAUUACUGGGCGUAAAGCGUGCGCAGGCGGUUUUGUAAGUCUGACGUGAAAGCCCCGGGCUUAACCUGGGAAUUGCGUUGGAGACUGCAAGGCUUGAAUCUGGCAGAGGGGGGUAGAAUUCCACGUGUAGCAGUGAAAUGCGUAGAGAUGUGGAGGAACACCGAUGGCGAAGGCAGCCCCCUGGGUCAAGAUUGACGCUCAUGCACGAAAGCGUGGGGAGCAAACAGG